UACGGAGGGAGCUAGCGUUGUUCGGAAUUACUGGGCGUAAAGCGCGCGUAGGCGGCUUUGUAAGUUAGAGGUGAAAGCCCGGGGCUCAACCCCGGAACUGCCUUUAAGACUGCAUCGCUGGAAUCCGGGAGAGGUGAGUGGAAUUCCGAGUGUAGAGGUGAAAUUCGUAGAUAUUCGGAAGAACACCAGUGGCGAAGGCGGCUCACUGGACCGGUAUUGACGCUGAUGUGCGAAAGCGUGGGGAGCAAACAGG
rnacentral:rRNA from 1 species